rnacentral:snRNA from 1 species
GGACUUCGCAGGUGGUGCAGUUGGUAAAGAAUCCUCCUGCCUCCCCAAAUGUGGGAAACUCGACUGCAUAAUUUGUGGUAGUGGGGGACUGCGUUCGCGCUUUCCCCUG